GUAUCUCUUCAGUAGCACAUAUAUUAAGAUUAAAUAACACCCCGGUAAGCAUGGCCCCUGCACAAUGAAGGCAUGCAAACAUAUGAAGUGUUCCAUAUUUUU
rnacentral:snRNA from 1 species